GCUCAGGAUGAACGCUAGCGACAGGCUUAACACAUGCAAGUCGAGGGGCAGCAUAAAAGUAGCAAUACUUUGGUGGCGACCGGCGCACGGGUGAGUAACGCGUAUGCAACCUACCUAUCAGAGGGGGAUAACCCGGCGAAAGUCGGACUAAUACCGCAUAAAACAGGGGCACCGCAUGGUGCUAUUUGUUAAAAAUUUAUUGCUGAUAGAUGGGCAUGCGUUCCAUUAGGUAGUUGGAGAGGUAACGGCUCACCAAGCCUACGAUGGAUAGGGGAACUGAGAGGUUGGUCCCCCACACUGGUACUGAGACACGGACCAGACUCCUACGGGAGGCAGCAGUGAGGAAUAUUGGUCAAUGGGCGAGAGCCUGAACCAGCCAAGUCGCGUGAAGGAAGAAGGAUCUAUGGUUCGUAAACUUCUUUUGCAGGGGAAUAAAGUGCAGGACGUGUCCUGUUUUGUAUGUACCCUGAGAAUAAGGAUCGGCUAACUCCGUGCCAGCAGCCGCGGUAAUACGGAGGAUCCGAGCGUUAUCCGGAUUUAUUGGGUUUAAAGGGUGCGUAGGUGGUUUAAUAAGUCAGCGGUGAAAGUUUGCAGCUUAACUGUAAAAAUGCCGUUGAAACUGUUAGACUUGAGUGUAAAUGAGGUAGGCGGAAUGCGUGGUGUAGCGGUGAAAUGCUUAGAUAUCACGCAGAACUCCGAUUGCGAAGGCAGCUUACCAAGCUACAACUGACACUGAAGCACGAAAGCGUGGGGAUCAAACAGGAUUAGAUACCCUGGUAGUCCACGCAGUAAACGAUGAUUACUAGCUGUUUGCGAUACACAGUAAGCGGCACAGCGAAAGCGUUAA
rnacentral:rRNA from 1 species